CACACACUUGCACACACACACACACACACACACACACACUUGCACACAUACACACACACACACACACACACACACACACGCACACAAAACGAUAUCAGUAGAUGCAGUGGUGAGCAUCAGUAACAGCUGUGCUGUUCCUAGCUCGGUCUGAUUUAGUAACAAGCGUCUGACAAGCUACUGCAGUGUGGGUCUCCCUCAACUGUCUUUUGCCAUCCUUAAUCCUGAAGCUUCCUGAACCAAUCUUUCCAGUUGCAUUCAGGAUCAAAGCCAUUGCCAUUGAGGUGAAGGCCCUGCUGUCUUCUGCUUAUAAAAGCUACGCCAAUGGCCUUCGAUUGUUAGAUGCCAAUUAAUGUCUGAUUAGUACGGGUGUCAGGGGUUAUGGGGAGAAGGCAGGAGAAUGGGGUUAGGAGGGAGAGAUAGAUCAGCCAUGAUUAAAUGGCGGAGUAGACUUGAUGGGCCAAAUGGCCUAAUUCCGCUCCUAUCAUUUAUAACCUUAUGAAAGCUCUUGCUCCUGGUUCGGAUCAGAAGUAAAUGCCAGUGGGGUUAAGGGUGGACGUUUCCAAUGGCAGAAUGAAAGUUUACAGCUACAUUCUGAUUCCUAUUGUGUUGACAGUAGAAUUCAGAACAAAAUGGCUGAUUUAGGCUGGAGAGAGUGUGGUCCCCACAAUGAUCAGAAUACGUUUCAAUAUAAAUUAAAAAAAGGUUUUUGGUUUGUCAGUUUGUUUAAGAGGGAUUAUUAGGUCUAACCCAAGGGUAAUGCUUUGAUUUUUAUCAUCUUAAACAACUUUUAAUUAGAAGGAUGGGCUGAUUUAUAUUAUUGACCUCACUAGGAUUGGAUUAGAAUCAAAGAAAUGUCUGGGAAGUUUUUUUUUGUGGCUGGGGAGAUGUUGAAACACAAUUCCAUUCCCUAAAGAUUUAGAUUUGUGAUUUUUUGAUCAGUGAUAUGCAGGAAAGACUGAAAGUGCUGAACAUUGGUGUCUCUGAAGAGGAAGAUUAUCUGUGCUCAAAACUAAUAAUAGCUGCCGUAUUCUUUAAAUCCUAAUACAAUAUUUCUAUACUCUCCGGAUGGGGCUAGGGAGCCACCUCUCACAGCUGAGUUUAAGUUGAAAUGUUGAUGAAAGCAGAGGUGACCUUGAUGCAUGUCAGGGAUUAUAAUGUGUUUGUAUCCAAAAGAGACCAAGUGCGAGAUGGAACUUGUUGAGGUCAGGUUACCUAGGGUGCUGAUACUAAAUUUACUUGAUUUUCCCACGUUUGAAAUUUUGUUUGGACAAAAUGUUUCAGAGAGUCAUUACAUUUACAAGAUACCCAUAGGGUGGGUUAGUAGGAAACAACCAUUGAAGCGGCUUUAUGCAAGAAAUUAGUGGAUGCUACAAUGAUGCUGCAAUGAGUAAAGGCAAAGCCUAACAUUUGAAAGGAGUUUCUUCAUUAUUUUUUCUCUUGGCUCAAAUAAAUCUAUGGAGAAUGUAUAAUAGUCCCCACCAUACAGUGAGCGAUCGAUCCGGAGGAGUGGGCUUUGGUUUAACUGGUUUGAUCAUUUCUUAGCCUGCACUUCUGUCAGCCAAUCUACCUAGUUUCAGUGGACCAGCAGCUCUGGACUUCAGGAGUGUAAAUCAGAUCCUUUAAAAAUUGAAAAAGUCAGAAGAAGGGGGUCUCGACCCAAAACGUCACCUAUUCCUUUUCUCCAGAGAUGCUGCCCGACCCACUGAGUUACUCCAGCUUUUAGUGUCUACCCGUUAGAAAUUGUUCAGUUUUAGUUUUUGCCCCUUUUCAGCUUUUAAGAAAACUGUCCAAGUACGUCAGACCUUUCUGUUAAAGUACAGGUUGCCACGUAUUCCACAAUGGAUACAUAUUGAUGAAAGCCAUCGGUAUAACAAGCAAACAAAAGCAAUUCAGUAGUUCUUGGUGUCCCACACAACAAUCUAUCUUCCAGGUAUUCAUUUUACCAUGCCAUUCUUUAACAUUUUUUGACCUCAAGGAGAACAGGAUGGAUGAACUGUAUUUUCAUUGUUCGGUUACAUAAGCCUCAGGAUGCUUGGGUUAGAGCGCAGUAUUGUAUUGGAGGGGACAAUUAAUGGAAGACCUUUGACUGUUUGGAGCAUCAAGUUGUUGGCAGGCCUUUGAGCAUUAUUGAGAAUGUUGAGACCUUUUUUGACCUGUAGGAACUGCUUCUGAAAUGCUUCUCUCAUUGGGCUGUCAACAAAAGAUUAAUCAACAAUCGUGCCACUUGAAAUUACCAAGAGCGCACUGUAAGAUUGGACGGGACUUUGAUUUAUUUGACCUGUUGUAAUUAUAACAUAAUUUGGAGUAUUGCUGGGCCCAUUAUGAGACUGCUGAAUUUUCAAAUACUAUUUAAUUUAUGGACUUAUUGAAAUGAUUAGCGUAAGACUAGAAGUUUAGUGAAUGAUUGAAAAACCUUGAUAAGGACGGCUGGACCACAUAAUGUACACUUGGAUAUGUUGAGCUAUUUGGAAUAUCGUUAGACUUCUGUUAUUAUUGGAGAUCGGUUAGUCCUCUUGAGAGUACCGAAAGCACUGUUGACAUGCUCCAGUACUGCUGGAAACCCAUUUAUAUCUUGGAGCAUGGUUGCUGCACAGUGCUCCAGCUAGGAACACAAUGGGGAGAUAAUUGGAGAGCUGGGUAUACCAUUAGAGGUUGUUGGGAUAGUUAUGAACACCAUUGGUGAACGACUGGACAGCUAGGAUCACCUUUGGUGAAUAGUUGGACACUUGGUAUAUCAUGGUGGUUGGUUGGGCACCAAGUGUCACCAUUGGUGGUUGGUUGGACAUCUGGGAACCCAUUGGAUGGUUGGACAUCUGGGAACACCAUUGGUGGAUGGUUGGAUAGCUAGGAACACCAUUGGUGAGCGGCUGGACAUCUGGUGCCACCACUGGUGAAUGGUUGAAUAACUGGAACACAUUGGAGAGGGAUGGACAGCUGGAAGCUCCAUUGGUGGAUGGUGGAAUCGCUAGAAUCACCAUUGGAGGAUGUUUGGAUGACCGGGAGCUGGGGGAUGAUUGGAUAGCUCAGAAUACCAUUGGAGAUGUUUGGACAGCUAGAAUCACCAGUGGAGAUGAGUGGACUACUGGGAACUCCAUUGGAGAUGGGUGGACAACUAGGGUCAGUACUGGGGGGUGAUAAACAGUUUGGAGGACUGCUCGAGUGAAAACGGAGGACAGUGGAAGGCCUGCAGAACUGGUGGAUUAUUUCCCAUCAUUGUACAGCAGAUUUCACUCUUUACCACAAUGAGCUGAUGACUUUUCAGAGAACUGUUCAUUCAGCCACAAAGCAGAGCUGUCUUCUGUCUUUGUCAUUGUACAAGCGACAGAGUGAUAAAUAAAAUGUAAAAAUCUUUGAAA